rnacentral:lncRNA from 1 species
UUUUUGUAUUUUUAGUAGGUUUCACCAUGUUGGUCAGGCUGGUCUUGAACGCCUGACCUCAAGUGAUCUACCUGCCUCGGCCUCCAAAAAUGCUGGGAUUACAGGUGUGAGCCACCAAGCCCAGCUUCUUCACCCUCCUUUUGAUAUUUUUGUGACUUCUGUUGCUGAGAUGCUCUGAGCCUGGGUCCCCACCUUUUGACUUCCCUCUUGUAUAGAUUCAUCCUAAUUCUUUCUUUCCCACUAGCAUCCCACCCCUUCCCUCCCAUGCCUAUUUAUCCUGUGCCAUCUGCCUUCCAGUGCCCCAGGGCAGGUGGUGGAGAGAGAUGGAUUGCAAACAAGAGACCUAACCCCAGUCCAGGAGAGGGAGAGGAUGCUGGGAGCUUGUCAUGGGAGCCACAAAGCACCACAGACCAGCAGGUUAAACAACAGGAUGGACAGCCCCACAGUUCUGGAGGCUGGAAGUCCGAGACCAGGUCAAGAUCCUCAGUGUUGACUCCUUUGGAGGCAGUGAGGGGGAAUUGGCCCCAGGCCUCUCUCCCUGGUGGGCUGCUGACCAUCUUUGGCCCCUUGGCUUAGCGAUGGCCUUUUUCCUGUGUCUUGUUCUUGGUCUUCCCUCCAUAUGCACCCUUUUCUCUCCACAGGGUAUUCUUUUCAUAAGGAGCAGUCAGAUUAGGGGAUGCAUUCCUCCAGGAUGACCCUUCUUAGCUAAUUACACCUGCAUGGCCCUAUUUCCAAGUAAAGUCACCUUCUGAGGUGCUGGAGGCCAGGGCUUCAUCAUAGGAAUGUGGAGAGGAGGAGACACCAUUCAGCCCCAAACAGGGCAAAGGUCGAACAAGGGGAGAGCAGCUGGUGACAGGAGCCCUUGGGCUCUGACAGCUCCCAUUCCGCCCACCUGUAAGGGGCUCCUUCCAUUGUGGGGUUGCGACUCUUAUGGCAGCCCUUCCUCCUGCUGGAGAAAACUGUACUGAUGGGUCUGCGGGGUCUCUGACUCAGGACACCUCCAUGCUGCACUUCUUUAUUGUUUGUUUGUUUGUUUGUUUGAGAUGGAGUCUCGCUGUGUCACCCAGCCUGGAGUGCAGUGGCAGGAUCUCGGCUCACUGCAACCUCCACCUCCUGGGCUUAAGUGAUCCUCCUGCCUCAGCCUCCCAAGUAGCUGGGAUUACAGGCACCCACCAACAUGCCCGAAUAAUUUUUGUAUUUUUAGUAAAAACAGGGUUUCACCAUGUUGGCCAGGCUGGUCUUGAACUCGUGACCUCAGGUGAUCUGCCCACCGUGGCCUCCCAAAGUGCUGGGAUUACAGGUGUGAGCCACCGCACCUGGCCACCUCUCUGCUGUACUUCUAAGGAGCUGGAAGGCUGGGUAAGGGUGGCCCCAGCCGCUACCCCCUCCCUGGAGGGUUUUGAGACCCUGAAAGACACAGGCCGUGGCUGUGCAAUGGAAAGAAACCAUGUCACAGUCAUCUUACCUUCGUUACCUGAGAAAAGCCUACAUCAGCGACUGUUCUCUCUUGGGUGCAAAUAGAAGAAAUACAACCUAAUUCAUGUUGGUAGCAGGGGAAAUUUAUUGGAAAAUUGAUGCAACUCCAGGGAAGGCAGGGACACAGCUGCCUCCAGGAACAGCAGGGCCUCCCUUCCCCUCCCUGUCCUUGCUGUCCCAGAGGUGGCUGGGGGAAUCUUUAAGGAAUCUUGAAUCUUGAGGUUGAGUUCCUUCCAUGUUCUUUAGGAUAGAGACUGGAACAGCGCCCAAUUAUCCCCUGGGUGUUAGAACAACAGCCCAACACUACUGCACCCGUCCUGAGUGGAGGGAACCUCUCCUGGGUUUCCUCACAUUCUCCUCAGCACCCGGGCGACACUGAACCACGGGGCUCCCAGGGCCCUUUACUCACUGUCUUUCAGGUUACUGCCAGGACAUUUCAGCUGCUGUGGACGUGGAAGGAAAACGUGUCACUGGGGAAUGAGAGGUGACCCGGCCACUUCUGGCUGAGUGAAUUAGGGCAAGAUGCAUCCCCUUCGACCCCUGGAGAGUCAAGCUUGAAGGUCUUGCAGGGUUUGUGGGUGGGUUAAAACCAUGUAACACCUGGUAUGGGCUGAAUCGCAUCUCCUCAAAUCUGUCUGUGGAAAUCCUAAUCCCCAGGACCUCAGAAUGUAUUUGGAGAUGGGGUCUUCCAAGAGGCGACUGAGUUAAGUUGGGGUCAUAUGCGUGGACCUUAGUGCAAUAUGCAAAGGGCAGGUUAGACACAGACACACGCAGUGGGAAGACCUGUGAGGAUGCAGGGAGAGGAUGCCAUCUACCAGCUGAAGAAGGAGGGGAUGGGGUUUGACUGUGUCACCACCCAAAUCUCACCUUGAAUUGUAAUAAUCUCCAUGCGUCAAGGUUGGGGCCAGGUGGAGAUGACUGAAUCAUGGGGCUGCUUCACCCAUGCUGUUCUCAUGGUAGUGAAUCAGUCUCUCGAGAUCUGAUGGUUUUAUAAAGGGGAGUUCCCCCGGCACAAGCUCUCUUGCCUACCACCAUGGAAGACGUGUCUUUGCCCCUCGUUCACCUUCUGCCAUGAUUGUGAGGCCUUCCCAGACAUGUGGAACGGUGAGUCCAUUAAACCUCUUUCUUUUAUAAAUUACCCAGUCUCAAGAAUGUCUUUAUUAGCAGCAUGAAAACCGACUGAUGAAUACAGGAGGCCUCAGAGGGCAGCAACCCUGCUAGACUUGGUCUUGAACUUCCAGCCUCCAGAACAUGAGAGAAUGAACUUCUUGUGUGAGUCCCCAGUCUGUGGGACGUUGUUAUGGAGGCUGAGCUGAUGUGUGCGACCCCUGAAGCCCUAUCCUCACCCUGUGAAGCACACGGCAGGCUCGGGAGAUGUCCAUAGUGGGCCAGCCAUCCUCACGGAGCACCGGCACCUUGGGCAUGGACACUGUGUCCCUGCUAUAUCAGGUCUGCGAGAGACCCAGAGCAGCUGGGCUCAGUGUCUCCAGCCUCGUUGCUCACCACCUCUUCCAACCCUGGGCUCUGGUCAGAUUUGUCGUCCUGGCCUAGUUUCAAUCAUGUCCCCUCAGAGAAGCUGCCCCAUGCACAGGGUCUCCAGAGCCAGGUGAGAUGCCCUCAGGGACGCACAUUCUCCCUAUGCCCACAGUUCUGAGGCCUCACUGUGUGUUUCUUUUCUUUUCUGGUCUGUCUUCCCACUAUGCGAGAAGCUGCCUGAAGGCAGGAACCUUCCCGACUGUCCUGCCUGUAGGGUCCCCCACAAAGAGGGCCCCUGGCAGGUAAGAGGGUCUGGGACGUGCUUAUGGAUGGACACAGAGCCCAGGCAGCACCGGGUGUCCAGCCCUGAGCUGAGGACAUCUGGGGCCCUGGACUGCCAGUCACUUUUCUGGGUCUUUGAUCCCUUCAUCGGGAAACACGGAGUUCUUGGGGAGCUCUGUGAGGCCCCAUGGGACAGAGACAUUGAUGUCAUAAGGCAGCACAUGCUGCUGAGCUGUGAGGGUGAGCAGGUGAAUAGCACCCGGGCCAGCCUGCGGGACAGCCCCAGCAUGGGGCAGUCCCAACGUGGCCCUGAGGACAGGGGACCACUGAGGAGAUGGAGAGGAAGGGCCCCUGUCCGGGAGCCUCACCCCAGAUUGGAGCUGGGCCUGGGAAGGUGUCCUGAGCCCCUCAGCCCCUCGCUGGGUGGCUCAGGAACUCACUGCUCAUCUCUGGUUUCUGAGCAGUUUACAGAGAAUUGCUAAUGGGUUUAUGAAUCAUGGGAAACAGAGAAUGCUUUUUUAUUUUUCUGCUACUGACCUCUCAAAAGAAAUUUCCAGAUGCCUCAUAUAAGUCAAUUCCAUAUAAUCGAGUCAAGAAUUUCACGACUGUGACUCAGCAUUUAAAUCUCCUAAAGGCAGAUAUUUAACCCAAAGACAGAGAGCUUCACUUCACAGGAUUCACACUAUGCUGAAGAUUCUGGGGUGUGCAGUACAUGUGCCUGUGUGCGUUCCUCUUUGAGCAAGAGUCAACAUGUAACUGGCAAUCUUUGAACAAGAUGCUAACAGGUCCACCAUGCUCUGUGUCAAUUAAGAAACAAAACUGAAGAUGUCCCUGGUACUCCACUGGCUGUGGAAUCAAGGCUUCAAUGCCAUCUUUCGCAGCGUCUGCAGUCUACAAGCCUGGAACUCCGGACUUGACUCUGUAACUAACGGUGCGUCUCCACUUGAUAUCCAAAGGCCUCUUCAACUGUACAAAACAGAAGCCCGACUUUCCCUAGGUUCUCAUGUCCAAGUAAAUGGCACUGCCUUUUGCCCAGUUGCUCAGGCAGCACCUGAAAAGCAUCAUUUAUUUACUCUUCAAUGCCCCCCCAUGCUGCAUAUCCAAACCAAGCAGCAGGACUGUCUCUUUCUUCAAAACACACCUGGAUGGGGCCUCUCCUCGCCGUGCUAAGCCCCUGGGCAUCACUCUCACCUGGAGUGUGCAGACAGCCUCUGGUGGGCUCCCUGCUGCAGCCGUUCCCGUCCUCUAUUGCACAGAGCAGCCAGUGAGCUUGGAACACAAAUCAGGGCCUAACACUGCUCUGCCCUAAGCCCCAAGCUCUCUCUUGGCCUCCCAGCUUCCCCAGAACAAAUCCCAAAGCCUCGGCGUGGGCGAUGGGCCCACACCACGCAGCCCCACCUGCUCCCCAGACGUGACAAGGUUGGCAUCGCCUGUGCAUGUGGGUUUCCCUCUGCCUAGAACCCUCGUUCCCUGCCAUUAAAAAUGGCUUUAUUCACAUUAUUUGAUUCUAGCUAGCUCCAAAGCCAUUUACUCAGUGAGGGUCUCCCACCCGCUCACGCACUCACCUCACCUUAUUUUUUUCUUCCACACCACUGAUUACCAUCUGCAAUUGAAUGAAAUUAUUUACUAAAUCUUAUUUUAUAUUGUCAUACUUCCUUAGCGGAUAAAAACUCAAAACUACGAAAGCAAUGACUUUGCCUUGAGUGUUGUUCUACACCCAGGUGAUCAGAACACAGAAGCCUUUGAUAAAUUUGUGCUGAAACAAGUCACGUCAUUAGUGCCUGAAAUCAGGAAACUGCCUGCAGGAGCCUCUGUUCCUGGCAUACACUUGGUGCUCAACACAUGCUCGUUAAAUACAUGAACAGAUACCUAAAUAACAUCAUUCACUUUUUUCCCUUCUCAUUGAAUGAGAUGGUUUAGUGGUGUCCCCACCCAAAUCUCAUCUUGAACUCUAGUUCCCAUAAUCCCCACGCAUGGUGGGAAGGACCCAGUGGAAGGUAAUUGAAUCAUGGGGGCAGAUACCCUCAUGCUGUUCUCAUGAUACUGAGUGAGUUCUCACGAGAUCUGAUGGUUUUAUAAGGCGCUUUCCCCUCAUUCGCUCUGCAUUUCUUGCUGCCACCACGUGAAGAAGGAUAUGUUUGCUUCCCCUUCCGUCAUGAUCGUAAGUUUCCUGAGGCCUUCCCAGCCCUGCAGAACUGUGAGUCAGUUAAGCCUCUUUCCUUUAUAAACUACCCUAUCUUGGGAAUUUCUUCCUAGCAGUGUGAGAAUGGACUAAUACAUCAAGGUUUUCAAAAGAGCUCUACCCACAGAUCUUUUAAAUUCCAUUCUUUUCCUUUGGCUUCAUAAAUGAGCGAGCUUUCUUAAGGCUUAUUAUCAAGAGUGGCUUUCACAUUUUAGGAGCACAUUAGGUCUCUGAAGCCUUGUAAUUUUCUUUUAAGUCACAUGAAAAAGAUCUUUACUUCCAAGGAGACACCUGGCUAUGCCCGGGCCUUUGGAUUUGAGGGCUCAUCCUGCACUUUCAGAGUGGGUGAGAAAAUGGGGCUCACCCCCUCACUGCUUCAGCCUCCAAGUGUCCAAAGCUUAAAUGGACGGAUGGGGCCCUCCCUCUCAGGCCUCAUUAUAGAAGGCAAAUUAGCCCCCAUGAUGGAGGCGGGCAGAGGACAUCAUGAGCUUACCCAGACCUGCAGAGGCAAUGGGCUGGGGAUGUUCUCUCCCUAAGAACAGAGAUGCUUUUGAGGAUGAGCUGAUGCAGGCAGGGGUGGCACUCUACGCAGAUGGCAGAAUAGUGCCGGCCCCUGGGAUGGGUGAGAGGAGGGAGCAUCCAGGAGCUGGGCCUGCAGAGGGAGGGAUGGAGAGGCCUUGGGCCCUGCUGAGGGUUUGAACUUGAUCCUGAGGCCAUCGAGGGCUGCAGGAGGGCUUUAAACAGAAAAUAAUUAUAUGGUAAGAUGUAACCGUUAGAAAGUUAUAGAUGGCUGGGGUAACUACACGGAUGGCAACAGACAAGAAGCUGGAAACUGCUGGGAAGCUUUUGGGUGAUCUGGGUGAGGAGGGAAGGGUGCUGCGCUGGGGAUGGGGGAGGACUGCAGCCGCUGGGGUGGAGAUGCAGGACUUGGGACCAGCUGGGUGGCAGUGAGUCAGGAUGGCCCACCCCUGGCCUGGCCACUAGGAGCAUGGAGGUGCCAUCCAAGAGUGAGACAUGCGGAGAAGGGGCAAGUCUGGAGGGAGAGAUGAGUGCAGCUUUGUUUUUUAAGAUUUUUGGUAAAAUACACAUGAGAAAAUUUCCCAUCUGAAUCAUUUUCAGCUCUACAGUUGAGUAUACUUGCAUUGUUCUGCACUGGCUCUCUAGGGCUUUCUCGUCGCCAAAGUAAGCCCUGUCCUGCUUCAACACUAGCUCCCCAUUCCUCUCUGCCAGCCCUGACACCCACCCUGACACCCACCCCUCUACUUCCUGUCUCCAUGGGUUGACUGUUCCAGGGGCCCGUAGUGGGAUUACACAGUGCUAGUCCCGUGGCUGGUUCCCUCCACUCGGUGUAACAACUCCAAGCCUCUUCCGUGUUGUGCUGUGUGUCCGAAUUUCCUUCCUUUUUAAGGCUGAAUAAUCCGUUGUUCCACGUGGGUGGGGCACACUGUGUUUAUUCCUCAUUGGCUGAUGGACAUGUGGGUUGCCUCCACCCUUGGCUGCUGUGGAUGGUGCUGCUGUGACAUGGCUGGGCAUACUCCUCGAGUCCCUGCUUUCAGUCCUUUGGGGGAUAGACCCAGAAGUGGAACUGAGGGGUCACAUGGCACUUCUGUGUUGGGAGCAGGCCCCCCAAAAUCUGGCCAUAAACUGGCCCCAAAACUGGCCAUAAACAAAAUCUCUGCAGCACUGUGACAUGUUCAUAAUGGCCCUAAAGCCCAAGCUAGAAGCUUGUCUAUUUACGGGGAUGAGGGCAAGGAACACUUGGCCCGCCCAGGGUGGAAAACCACUUAAAGGCAUUCUUAAGCCACAAACAAUAGCAUGAGCGAUUUCUGCCUUAAGGACGUGCUCCUGCUGCAGUUAACUAGCCCAGCCUGUUCCUUUAAUUUGACCCAUCCCUUCGUUUCCCAUAAGGGAUACUAUUAGUUAAUUUAACAUCUAUAGAAACAAUGCUAAUGACUGGUUUGCUGUUAAUAAAUACAUGGGUAAAUCUCUGUUCAGGGCUCUCAGCUCUGAAGGCUGUGAGACCCCUGAUUUCCCAACUCACACCUCUAUAUUUCUGUGUGUGUGUCUUUAAUUCCUCUAGUACUGCUGGGUUAGGGUCUCCCUGACCUAGCUGGUCUCAGCAAGUGGCGUCCAUCGUGGGGACUCAAAUCCAGGUCGAAGGGUUGCCAGAACAAUGGUUGGAGUGGAAAACUAGCUGGAGGACACUCGAGUACUCUUAAAGCAAUCCCUGUGGUGAGUAAGAAGGGGAGCUCAGAAGCAUCAGGGUAACAAUGGGACAGAUGUGGGGUCUGGUUCGUUUCACCUUGGAACUUUUUCACACUGAUGAUGAGGAAGGAGAGUAUAGUGAAGUAACAGAAGGGGUUACAGAGCAUGUUUAUUUACCAGCUAAAGCUAAAGCAGCAAAGGAAGGAGAGGUUCAUCCCUACCCUUCUGCACUCCCUCCUUACUACUUUGAAGAAAAAGACCCUCCAGAUCUUUCUUUUCUGGAGGACACUGGGCGAAAAGUAGUUGCCCCAGUGACUGUUUGAGCAGUGCCUUGAGUGACCACUCUUAGUUCUAUUCAGGCAGGAAUUCAGCAAGCUAAAUGAGAGGGUGAUUUCGAGGCUUGGCAGUUCCCUGUUAGAAUACACCCCCCAGAUCAAUGGGAAAUAUAGCUACAUUUGAGCCUUUUCCUUUUAAAUUACUCAAAGAAUUUAAACAAGCUAUAAAUCAGUAUGGACCAGGUUCUCCUUUGGUAAUGGGACAGUUAAAGAAUGUUGCUGUUUCCAAUAGGAUGAUUCCUACUGAUGAGGACGCUCUUACUUGAGCUUGUCUAACUCCUGCUCAUUUCUUACAAUUUAAAACUUCGUGGGCAGAUGAAGCUUCCAUUCAGGCUGCUCACAAUGCCCAGGCCCAACCUCGAAUUAAUAUAGCUGCAGACCAGCUUUUAGGGGUUGGCGGCUGGGCUGGUUUCGAUGCAUAACUGGUCAUGCAGGAUGAUGCCAUAGAACACCUUAGAGGAGUGUGCAUUAGAGCUGGGGAAAAAAUCACUUCAGGUGGGAAACAAUACCCUUCCUUUAGUGCUAUAAAACAGGGACCAAGAAAACCAUAUGUUGAUUUUAUAGCUCGGUUACAGGAGUCUCUUGAAAAGAUGAUUGCAGAUUCGGCUGCUCAGGAUAUAGUGCUGCAGUUAUUAGCUUUCGACAAUGCUAAUCCCGAUUGCCAGGCUGCUCUGUGACCUAUCAGAGAGAAAGCACAUUUAGUUGAUUAUAUCAAGGCCUGUGAUGGUAUUGGAGGUAAUCUGCAUAAAGCUACUUUGAUGGCACAGGCAAUGGCAGGACUGAGAGUGGAUAAGGAAAAUACUCCAUUUCCUGGAGCUUGUUUUAACUGUGGGAAGCAUGGUCAUACUAAAAAAGAAUGUAGAAAAAAUCAGCAAGUCAGUCUGCCAGAUAGGGGAAAAAGAAAACUGCUGAUCCUGAAAUAGGUCCAAAAUGUAAAAAAGGAAAACAUUGGGCUAAUGAGUGUCACUCUAAGUUUGAUAAAGAAGGGAACUCGAUUUCAGGAAAUGCUAUGAGGGGCCCGUCCCAGGCUCCAUUCUAAACCGGGGCAUUUCCAGCUCAGGCCAUUCUCUCAACCCUGUACAAUGUCUGUCCCCCGCCACAGCCGGUAGUGCCGCAGUAGAUUUAUGCUGCACAAAAGCUGUGAGUCUUCUGCCUGGGGAACCCCUGCAAAAGGUCCCAACAGGAGUCUGUGGACCCUUGCCAGCGGGGACAAUAGGAUUAGUUUUAGGAAGGCCUAGUUUAAGUUUAAAAGGGGUACAAAUACAUACAGGAGUCAUUGAUUCAGAUUACAAUGGGGAAAUUCAAAUUGUUAUAUCUACUUCUGUUCCCUGGAAAGCAAAGCCAGGAGAGCGCAUAGCACAGCUCCUAAUUUUGCCGUAUGUGAAAAUGGGGAAAAGUGAAAUUAAACAAACAGGUGGAUUUGGAAGCACAAAUAAACAAGGCAACGCGGCUUAUUGGGUAAAUCAAAUUACUGAUAAACGUCCUACCUGUGAAAUAACUAUUCAGGGAAAGAAAUUUAAAGGUUUGGUAGAUACAGGAGCGGACAUUUCAAUCCUUUCUCUACAGCACUGGCCGUCUGCGUGGCCAAUUCCACCCACUCAAUUUAACAUAGUUGGAGUUGGUAAAGCCCCUGAAGUAUAUCAAAGUAGUUAUGUUUUGCAUUGUGAAGGGCCCGAUGGACAAUCUGGGACUAUUCAACCAAUUAUAACUUCUGUACCUAUAAAUUUAUGGGGAAGGGAUUUAUUACAACAAUGGGGAACACAAGUUCUAAUUCCAGAACAAUUAUAUAGCCCUCAAAGUCAACAUAUGAUGCAUGAAAUGGGGUAUGUCCCUGGCAUGGGAACAGGAAAAAAUUUGCAAGGUUUGAAGGAACCGCUUCAAGUGGAAAAACAAAGUUCCCGCCAAAGAUUAGGAUAUCAUUUUUGAUGGUGGCCAUUGUUAAGCCUCCAGAACCUAUACCUUUAAAAUGGUUAACAGAUAAGCCAAUUUGGAUAGAACAGUGGCCGCUAAGCAAAGAGAAACUGGAGGCUUUAGAGAAAUUAGUUACCGAACAAUUAGAAAAUGGGCACAUAGCUCCAACAUUUUCCCCUUGGAAUUCUCCAGUUUUCCUAACUAAGAAAAAAUCAGGUAAAUGGAGAAUGUUAACUGACUUAAGAGCCAUUAAUUCAGUUACACAACCUAUGGGAGCAUUACAGCCAGGAUUGCCUUCUCCUACUAUAAUUCCAAAAAAUUGGCCUUUAAUAGUCAUAGAUUUAAAAGACAGUUUCUUUACUAUCUCUUUAGCUGAGCAAGACUGUGAAGGGUUUGCAUUUACAAUUCCUGCAGUAAACAACCUGCAGCCUGCUAAGCAUUUUCAUUGUUUCACAGAUGGGUCUAGUAAUGGUAAAGCUUCCUAUUCUGGCUCGAAAAGUAAAGUUUUCCAGAUGCCCUAUACUUCAGCUCAAAAAGCAGAGCUUGUAGCUGUAAUUGAGGUAUUGACUGCUUUUGAUAUGCCUAUUAAUGUGAUUUCUGAUUCUUCAUACGUGGUUCAUUCCACACAGUUAAUUGAAAGUGCUCAGUUACGAUUUCAUACAGAUGAACAACUGAUGACUUUAUUUACCCAACUGCCAAGAGCAGUUAGAAGUAGAAUGCACCCUUUUUACAUCACUCACAUUAGGUCUCGUACACCUUUUCCAGGACCUUUGGCUGAAGGGAAUCAAAUGGCUGACCGCCUAAUUGCUAAUGCAAUCUCAAAUGCUAGACACUUUCACAAUUUAACCCAUGUGAAUGCCUCUGGUCUCAAACGCAGAUGCAGUAUUACCUGGAAAGAAGCUAAAGCUAUUAUCCAGCGAUGCCCAACUUGCCAAAUGGCCCAUUCUUCAUCUUUUACAGGAGGAGUUAAUCCUCGAGGAUUGGAACCUAACUCUGUUUGGCAAAUGGAUGUCACACAUCUUCCCUCGUUUGGGAGACUAGCUUAUGUACAUGUAUGUGUGGACACCUUUUCUCACUUUGGGCUACAGGCCAAUCAGGAGAGCCUUCUGCCUGUGUUAAAUGUCACCUCUUGCAGUGUUUUGCAGUGAUGGGCAUUCCAGCUUCUAUUAAAACAGAUAAUGCCCCAGGCUAUCCUAGCCAAACUCUAGCUACAUUUUUCUCUUUGUGGAAUAUUAAACACAUUACUGGUAUCCCAUACAAUUCUCAAGGACAAGCCAUAGUGGAAAGAAUGUAUCUUUCCCUAAAACAGCAGUUGCAAAAGCAGAAAGGGGGAGACAGAGUAUAUGGAACCCCAUAGAUGCAACUGAACCUAGCAUUAUUAACUUUAAAUUUUUUGAGCCUGCCCAAAGACCAGAUGUUAUCAGCAGCUGAACAGCAUUUACAGAAACCAGCUGCAAAGACAAAAGCGGAACAACUGGUUUGGUGGAGAGAUCCAAUUACAAAACGUUGGGAAAUAGGUAAAAUAAUAACUUGGGGUAGAGGUUAUGCUUGUGUUUCUCCAGGCCAAAAUCAACAGCCGAUUUGGAUACCAUCAAGACACCUGAAACCUUAUCAUGAGCCAGAUGCAGAGGAAGAGAUUCCAGGAGGAUCCCGAGGACCCCCGGUUGCAGCCAUGUCAAGACUGACGCUGCGGAGGACCCCAACUGUCACGAGCAACACCCAUCGAACACAGCCACCCACCUGGGGACAGAACAGGAAGCUGUCACAGAUGGCGGAAGAAAACCUGAGGAAAGCGGGACAACCAGUCACAAUGAAUAAUUUAAUGAUAGCUCUGAUAGCGGUUAUCACCACCGCCGUGAGUAUUCCUUCAAUAAGGGCUUACACAGAGAACAGUUCUACUUAUUUAUCCAUCUUGGCUGGCAAUAAUGACUGGAUGCAAUCACUCUGACAGUUACACAUGCUUUCUGAUCUCAGUAUUCACCAUAAUAAAUCUGCUCUUAUAAUUGACACACACCACCCUCAAAAACCUAUUUGUAAACAGGAUUGGAACCAGUUAGAAAAAAUGAGCGUACUUGUUUGGAAGAUUGCAUUGCAGAACAGGCAGAGGUGCUGCACAACGAUUCCUGCGGAAUCAUUAUUAAUUGGUCCCCCAAGGGGAUGUUUAGCUUGAACUGCACCUCUCAGUCUGCGUGCCACGGCCACACUAUGUUCAGAUGAUCUGAACAAAACGGUCAGAUGGUAGAAAUGGUAAGAAGUACGGCAAGAGUUCCUAUUAUCUGGAACCAUGGCGGUAUAGUGGCACCUCAACCUCAAAUGAUAUGGGCUGCUCUAGGAGCUUAACAUAAGGAUUUAAAAUGAAAAGAACAAAUAUUUAAAGCAUCCCAGGCACACCUGACCUUAAUUCCAGAACCUGGAGUGCUCAAAGGAGCUGAAAAUGGAGAAAAAACACUUGGAAGCUCUGUGAUUUCAAAGAUGAUUGUGCUUUUAAUCUGUGUUGUUUGUCUUUGUAUAGUCUGCAGAUGUGGAUCCUGACUCCUGCAAGAAGUAGCUCACCGUGACAAAGCUGCCUUUGCUUUUAUCGAUUUGCAAAUCAGAGAAGGGGGACAUAUUGGGAGCAGGCCCCCCAAAAUCUGGCCAUAAACUGGCCCCAAAACUGGACUGGCCAUAAACUGGCCCCAAAACUGGACUGGCCAUAAACAAAAUCUCUGCAGCACUGUAACAUGUUCAUAAUGGCCCCUAAUGCCCAGGCUGGAAGGUUGUGGGUUUACAGGGAUGAGGGCGAGGAACACCUGGCCCACCCAGGGUGGAAAACCGCUUAAAGGCAUUCUUAAGCCAAACAAUAGCAUGAGUGAUCUGUGACUUAAGGACAUGCUCCUGCUGCAGUUAACUAGCCCAACCUAUUCCUUUAAUUCGGUCCAUCCCUUCGUUUCCCGUAAGGGAUACUUUUAGUUAAUUUAACAUCUAUAGAAACAAUGCUGAUGACUGGUUUGCUGUUAAUAAACACGUGGGUAAAUCUCUGUUCGGGCCUCUCAGCUCUGAAGGCUGUGAAACCCCUGAUUUCCCACUUCCCAC